GACAACGUAGCUCAAUGGCUAGAGCGCAGGGCGAGUCCCUGAGGAUGUUGGUUCAAGUCCAACCGUUGUGA
rnacentral:tRNA from 2 species